GGAGCUAUGGCUCAAUGGUAGAGCGCUUGCCUAGCAUGUAUGAGGCACUGGGUUCAAUUCUCAGCACCA
rnacentral:tRNA from 1 species